CCUACGGGUGGCUGCAGUGAGGAAUAUUGGUCAAUGGGCGCAAGCCUGAACCAGCCAAGUAGCGUGAAGGAUGACUGCCCUACGGGUUGUAAACUUCUUUUAUACGGGAAUAACGUGCGUUACGUGUACUGCUUUGCAUGUACCUUAUGAAUAAGGAUCGGCUAACUCCGUGCCAGCAGCCGCGGUAAUACGGAGGAUCCGAGCGUUAUCCGGAUUUAUUGGGUUUAAAGGGAGCGUAGACGGGAUGUUAAGUCAGUUGUGAAAGUUCGAGGCUCAACCGGAGAAUUGCAGUGGAUACUGGCAGACUGGAGGACAGUAGAGGUAGGCGGAAUUCGUGGUGUAGCGGUGAAAUGCUUAGAUA
rnacentral:rRNA from 1 species